rnacentral:tRNA from 1 species
CAGUAGCUCAGUUGGAUAGAGCAACAGAUUUCUAAUCUGUGGGUCAGGGGUUCGAAUCCCUUCUGG